rnacentral:rRNA from 1 species
UACGUAGGGGGCAAGCGUUAUCCGGAUUUACUGGGUGUAAAGGGAGCGUAGACGGCAGCGCAAGUCUGGAGUGAAAUGCCGGGGCUCAACCCCGGAACUGCUUUGGAAACUGUGCAGCUAGAGUGCGGGAGAGGUAAGCGGAAUUCCUAGUGUAGCGGUGAAAUGCGUAGGUAUUAGGAGGAACACCAGUGGCGAAGGCGGCUUACUGGACCGUAACUGACGUUGAGGCUCGAAAGCGUGGGGAGCAAACAGG